CAGCGCAGCUGGUGCAUGACCAGAGGAUUCUCCAUGGCCCCAGGAGUCUUGGUCUCGUUGGGGAUGAUGCAACGUACAAAGUGAGGAUGCAGGUCCAGCCUCUUGCAUUGGGAGAAUUCCUGUCAGGCACAGCAAGCAUGACCACACACAAGAGAUGUUGAUUCCUUUUGCUUUCAACUUCCUUCUUCCCUCAACAUCUGCACAUCAGCCCCAACCAGGAGGCUCCAAC